rnacentral:tRNA from 1 species
GGGUAAGCUAUUGAUAUGUCAUGCCAAAGCUCUUGGACUCAUAAUCCCUUGGUUCCAGGUUCGAAUCCUGGUGGGCCCACCA